GAGAAACGGGAAGAGGGGCCAGCCUCAGGCACCGCGGCCCCGCAACAAACUGGGGCA
rfam:Papio anubis isolate 1X1155 chromosome 4, whole genome shotgun sequence.